rnacentral:lncRNA from 1 species
UAGAAUUAACAUAUCUACUAGUUGUUUAUAUAGAUGCAUAGUUGCAUAAUAUUCCUGUUGCAUAUUGUGAGGCAAAGCAUGAUAUAUGUUAGUUGCAUUUAAAUUAUGAUUUCAUAUCUAUCUAUUGAACUAACAUGUUGUUGCCUCCCUUGGACCUAUCGGUCGAGCUCUUCCCUUGGGUGGCUGUACCCACUGGGAACCAUGGAGUUGGUUCUCACCCCACGUUGUUUUGGGGUGUUUCAGGUUCGCACGUGAGCGGCGCGGCGGCGCGAGGAAAGGGCGU